rnacentral:rRNA from 1 species
AUUGAACGCUGGCGGCAGGCCUAACACAUGCAAGUCGAACGGUAACAGGAAACAGCUUGCUGUUUCGCUGACGAGUGGCGGACGGGUGAGUAAUGUCUGGGAAACUGCCUGAUGGAGGGGGAUAACUACUGGAAACGGUAGCUAAUACCGCAUAACGUCGCAAGACCAAAGAGGGGGACCCUCGGGCCUCUUGCCAUCGGAUGUGCCCAGAUGGGAUUAGCUUGUUGGUGGGGUAACGGCUCACCAAGGCGACGAUCCCUAGCUGGUCUGAGAGGAUGACCAGCCACACUGGAACUGAGACACGGUCCAGACUCCUACGGGAGGCAGCAGUGGGGAAUAUUGCACAAUGGGCGCAAGCCUGAUGUAGCCAUGCCGCGUGUAUGAAGAAGGCCUUCGGGUUGUAAAGUACUUUCAGCGGGGAGGAAGGGAGUAAAGUUAAUACCUUUGCUCAUUGACGUUACCCGCAGAAGAAGCACCGGCUAACUCCGUG